UAUUCGGCCACAACUUGGAACUUGAGAACCUGGCCAGACUCCUUACGGAGGGCAGCAGUAGGGAAUUUUCCCACAAAUUGACGAAAGUCUGAUGGAGGCAACGCCGCGUGAGGGAAGAACGUUUUCGGAUGUAAAACUCUGUGUGAGAGAUGUUAUCUGAUAGUAACUGAUCAGGUAGUGACGGUAUCAACCAGAAAGCCACGGCUAACUACGUGCCAGCAGCCGCGGUAAUACGUAGGUGGCAAGCGUGUCCGGGAUUUAUUGGGCGUAAAGCGAGCGCAGGCGGUUUUUUAAGUCUGAUGUGAAAGCUUUCGGCUCAACCGAAGAAGUGCAUCGGAAACUGGGAAACUUGAGUGCAGAAGAGGACAGUGGAACUCCAUGUGUAGCGGUGAAAUGCGUAGAUAUAUGGAAGAACACCAGUGGCGAAGGCGGCUGUCUGGUCUGUAACUGACGCUGAGGCUCGAAAGCAUGGGUAGCAAACAGGAUUAGAUACCCUGGUAGUCCAUGCCGUAAACGAUGAGUGCUAGGUGUUGGAGGGUUUCCGCCCUUCAGUGCCGCAGCUAACGCAUUAAGCACUCCGCCUGGGGAGUACGAUCGCAAGAUUGAAACUCAAAGGAAUUGACGGGGGCCCGCACAAGCGGUGGAGCAUGUGGUUUAAUUCGAAGCAACGCGAAGAACCUUACCAGGUC
rnacentral:rRNA from 1 species